GGCUGGAAUGAUUUAAUUGGGGAUUGGUCCUGUUUGAGCAGGGGGUUGGACUAGAUGACCUCCUGAGGUCCCUUCCAACCCUGAUAUUCUAUGAUUCUAUGCUUCUAUGAUUCUAAUGCUCCUAUCCUUCCUGUGAAAAAGCCAAAACCGGGCCCAGAUGGGCGCCCAGGUUAUCGGUUCGUUCAAGAUCUGCAUGCGAUAAAUAGUUAUGUUAUAACUCCCCACCAAGUGGUCCCUGAUCCGAGUACUGUCCUGACACUGAUUCCCCAGUCGGCCAGUGGUGUCCUAUUGCAGUACCUAGGGGAUUGCCCACGCCCCAUAGUUUCCUAUUCCGUACAAUAGGACCCGGUCAUUCGGGGAUUGGUCUCCUGUGUGCGGUCCAUUGCCGCUGCAGCCCUUAUGGUGGAACGGUCACGCCCUAUUGUUCUGGGCCACCCUUUGACUGUCUGGGUCCCCCACGAAGUUGAGGUUCUCUUAAAACAGCAUACAACGCAAGCGCUGUCUCCGCAGUGGGCCCACCAAUACGAGCGGAUUCUGCUGGAUUCAACUAUUGGGGUCUCCAGACUCCAUCAGGACUGCUUGUUUUCUUGUUACUUGGACUUAUAUUUGUUGUCCUGUUUUGUGCAUGGUACACGGGAGGAUGCAAAUACUGGUAUGGGUGGCCUGUGGAAUCCCCUCUCUCUUCUCGAGUUCGGUACACGGAUGGGAAGGCAACAGCUUCCUGGAUUUAACCCAUGCUGUACCACAGGGGGUUAACCGAAUGCGGUGUUGGGUCUGUAUUCAUACCCCCACGUACAUAGGUCAGGGAAUCCCGUUGGUAAGGGAGCCUAUCCCUCUCAACCGAACCCUCCUGGCCGGAUUAUGGACAGACACUCCAUUUAACUGGAACGUUACAAUCCAAACUUGGUCUAUUGAUAUGGUGGCCCAGGGUAGUUAAGCUUUAUGUGUGUCACGAGGUAAGAAUUUCGAAAAUACAGUUUUUGUGGGUAGCUUUGUAGGGUCCAGUGAUACCACCCGCAUUAGCUCUGGUGCGGCAAGUCCCCCCAAGUAUUCCAGGGCGCCGUGGCCGGUCCCUGAGGGAUCAGGCUGGUUCUGGUUGUGCAAGCACACGGCUUAUAAGGUCCCCCCGGCAGGUUGGUGUGGUACAUGCACCUUAGUACCCGCUGUUACAGUACACCAGACCCUGGCCCAGGGGGAAAUUCGGAACCUGGUAUGGAGGAACCGAGGAAAUGUCCCAUUAAAUCCUCUCUCUGAACGGCCUACAGGCUUUCACUCCUUUGUUCGUUGGUUUUUGCCCUGGGUGGGGGUGAGUGAAUUGGAAAAGGCUACAGUUAAUAUUUCUGCAGCCUUAGAAUUAAUGGCAAAUGCCACUGCAGACGCCUUGUCUACCCUUCAAAUGGAGGUGACUCAGUUAUCUCAGACCACACUGCAGAACCCCUUAGCCUUAGACUAUCUUCUUGCAAACCAGGGGGCGUUUGUACUCUUGUUAACUCAAGCUGUUGUGUCUUUGUGAAUCAACACCGCAGAUUAGAAGUCGAUAUCCACACCCUUAUGCAGCAGGCCACCUCACUUCACCGUGUCACCCUUGAUGACACCAGUACCGGAUUCCAUGAGGCCUGGAGCUGGCUCACCUCCUGGCUGCCAGACUUGGGGGCUUGGGGAAGGCGUAUUUUGUACCUCAUUCUUAUGGCUGUUUCUCUUUUUGUAUUACUUUUUGUAUGCCUACAAUGCUGUAGUAUGUGCUGCCGGCAAAUUUUAAUCUUGCAUCGAGGUUAUUUUGCCUCGAUAUAGUUUACUGACGUACAUAAGAAAAGGAAGGACUGUCAGGGGAAAUCAACCGAGUUAGCAUAUGUGACUCCAUUUUGGGUUUCCUCUCGGCCAUUAACUAGAAGCGAGCACAUCACGUACCAAGGGAGGAGGAUCCUUCAGAGUGGACAGCCGGACAGUUUCAAGAGAAGGGAAACAAAGGAGACAGGAACCAGCCGAGGUGCCUGAAAUAGCUGCUAAUUCAGCUUUUCUGCAGGGGGAAGGUGGCUGCAGGGGAUUGGUGAUAGAUAAGGAGAAGGCCUGUUUAUUGGGUUAGGUGCCCGCUCUCCCCACGCCCCGCCCCAGGCACACAGGCAGGAUGUUUUGCCAACAGUAUAUAAUCUUUGUGUAACCUGUAAUCGGGGUCCCGCUCUGCAGUCUGUCUUUAUUUGGUUGCCUCAGCUUAGGAACGAGCUGUACGUGUCCUAACUGGAAUAAUUCGUAACAGUUGCUGUGAAAUAUGAAGGGAAGCUGUCGGGAUUCCUGUCCCCGUCCCCGGCUCAGAGCUCUGCUUCCCGUCUCAGCCUGUGGCUGGCAGGCGUGUGGGAAAUGAGAAGACCCUCCCCUUCUCCGUGUGCUGGGGGGACAAAGAGCUCUCACCCUCUCCCAGCCCCUGGAGCCUCCUGGCUGCUCUGAGCAGGGUGCCUGUGGGAUUCUGCUACUCUGGCCCUUCACUCUUUUCUUUCUUUGCCAUGAUUAGUGGGAUUGUGGCAGGGGCAGGAGGUGCUGAGUGGGGGACUCUUGUUUCAGAUGCCGGUGACCUUCGAGGAGGUGGCUGUGUAUUUCACCCAGGGGCAGGGGGCUCUGCUGGACCCCGCUCAGCAUCUGAUGUGUUCUGACCAGUGUUCCCUCAGUUUUUACGUCCAAGUGCGGAAUGAAUUUGGUUCUACGCACCAGUAUGUGACACAUCAUCUCCAUAUUGGCGCACAGAACAAAAUUCAUGGGGUGGGGGUGGGGCCGAGGGAUUCGGAGUGUGGGAACUGGCUCAGGACUGGGACAGGGAUGAGGUGCGGGGGGUGAGGGCUCUGGAUUCAGGUGAGGGCUCUGGGGUUGGGCUGGGGAUGUGGAGGUUGACGUGUGAGAGGGGGUUCAGGGCUGGGACAGAGGGAUGGGGUGCGGAGGGGUGAGUGCUCUGGCUAGGCAUGUGGGGGCUGGGACUGGGGAUGAGGGGUUUGGGGUUCAGACUGCAGUGGAGAGAGGACUCCCCCAGCCCUCUCUCACCAGAGCAGUUUGGGGCCACGUCAGAGGCAACUCUCCCCAACCACGGUGGCUCCUGUGGUCCUGGGCCGGGCUGAGGGAGGGGUUCCUCUCCCCAGCAGCUCCAGUGGACCUGGGCCAAGCCUGGGGAGGGGCUCCUCUCCCUGCCUGCCUCCACGGCCCUCCAUAGCCUGCAGUGCAGCUGCGUAGCCUGCCGGGAACACAGUUUCUGACGCCCGACCUUCCGUUAGCAGAGUGAUUGCUAGUCCCUGAGUUCCCCCUUCGGGGCCAGGUUGUCUUAUUCCCAGAUAGUCUCGCAUUGCUCCAGGCCGUGCUGAAAAGCAUUUAGUGUUUGUACAUUUUAUCCCUUAUGGGCCAGAAUUAACUAGAUGCUAAAAAGGUGGGAGAAGGGACAGUAAAAUGUGGUGUUUUCGCUUCUGUGCUAUUUCAGGGCAAUGGGGCGAGUGCGAGAGAUUCCCUCCUCCCCUCUCACUGUCACGCUCCUCUCUCCACACAGCAGCCUCUGUCCCAGCCAUGGAAAGUUUAACCUGCCUCCGUUGUAUCCCUCCAUCUCCCACGGUGUCACGUACCACCCUGUCCCCGGCUCUCCAUGCUUAGGAGUCACAGCUUUGAUGUCUAUGAUCUUAGUCAGACUUCGGAGGGCUGGAGAAGGAAGUGUCACAGACCUGGAGUGGGCAGGGAAAUCUCAAUGAACUUCAAAGCACAGUUGGACCUUCAGAUCUUAUAGUCCUGUUUCCAUCUAUUGGUAAAAUUGCUUCCCGGCUUUUUCUAGGUUUGGUCCAGAUCAUUUUUAGAUGGGAAGGUUGUUUUCUCUUUUGUUCUCUUUCUUUUAUGAUGAUGCUAAAACUUUUGUAACUAAUACAGCCGAAUAAUGAGGCGAGAAGCGAAGCCGGUUUAGCCACUUGAGAAGAAAAUGGGUAAAUUUCUUCCCCUGAUUUUGAGUCUUAAAGGAUUCUCUGAGAUUUGCAUCAACAGGAAGAAAGGAGUAAACAAAGAAACUUACAAUUCAUCUGUAGUACAGUGUGUAGGUCACUUAUGCCACGGAGUUCCCUGACCCCAGGACCCAGCAAAGACUUUUCAAGUAUAAAGGAUCCGAGUACAAGAAGCGGGGAAAGGGGUUCUGGCCCCAUGUCUACUCAGGGCAGCAAGAUCCCUUGAAAGACAACAGGAGCAUCACUGAGCUGGGGGAGUGGUCCUAGCUGGAAGGCUUUCCAAUGAGCUUAGACUGCUGAAAGCUUUUGGGUGAGAGAAAUCCUUUUGCUUGUAAGGGUACGUCAACAGUCCAAACUUAAGUUGACCUGUAUUAGGUUGACCUAUAACCACUCCAAUAAUGAGUGCAGUAGAUGAUGUCCACACUAUCCUCCUUGGGUCGGUGGGGUGUGUCCUCACCAGGAGCACUUCCACCGACCUAGGAGGGGCAAUGUGGGGAGCUGAGAGCCCGCUCUGUCAACUCCAGCAGCAGCUCUCUCCCAGGAACGUGGCUGCCCUACAAGCUCUGUGUGAAUUGCUCCCCAUCUAGGCCCCAUUCCCUGCUGGGCCGCCCCCCUCCACUGCCUCUUCCCCAUAAAGAGUGAGGGAGGCCACCUGGAGCUUCUCCCUCCCCCGCCCCUCCCCGCACCAUUCCCCUCCCAGUUUGACACCAGACCAUAGAUAACUACUCUGAGAGCAGUCUUUAGUUGUGCACCCACUUUACAGUAAUUUCAUCUCGACCAGUGAAUUCUUCCCUGCUGGUCAGAACUGAGUCUAACCCACCUGCCCCCUGGUUCCUUCCUCCACCAUCGGAAAUCAGAACUUGUCCCUGACGCGUUCCCAGCACAGUGGGUUCUGUUAGGGUGGCCACGUGCCCGGUUUUCAACCAUGAAGUCCAGUGGAAAAGGGGACCUGACAGUGUCCGAUCACAUCUACUGACCGGACAGCCAAAGUCGAGUUCCUGCAGGUGGGGAGGCACUGGGUCAUCACUCGCACCAGACCCGACUCAGCCGGGGCUGCCUCCUACCUGCACUGAGCAGCUGCAGCUCCCAGCCCCGGCUCCACAGACAAGCCCUUCCUGACCUAGGCAGGGAAGGGGGAAAGAGAAGUGGAGGGCGGGUAGACCCUUGGAGGAAGAGGUGGAGUCGGAGCAGGGCCUUGGAGGGAAGAGGUGGGGCAAGGGAGGUUGCAGCACUCCUACUUGAGUGUCCAUUUUUAAAAUAUUACCAAAUUGGCAACCCGAGUCGCUAGCUGAGAGGUUGAGAAAAUUUUUAGCAAACAUAGAAAUACCCUUUUUCACAGCAGCGGAUUUACUAACUGCCAAUAAAGAAACUAUGAUUUUCAUGUUUAUAGGAGUAAGGGGAUUGUUGGCCCCUUACUGAAACUUAAUGGGUUGGCCAUGAGAUAGGCCUUCUCCGAACACCAAAACAAAGGGGAAGGGCCAAUGAGAAAUGAAGACCCUGAGACUGGCGGGGGCGGGGGGGGGGCAAUACUGUAAGUCAGCCUGAUUGACAGGGCAGGCAGGCCAUUGAGGGAGUCAGCAACUGGGGUCCUCUCCUUCGUGUCAGCUGGAGCUGGCUGGGCUAGAGCAGAGCAGGAGGGGCUAAGGAGAGAGGAGGGCUGGGCUGGGCUGGAGGCAGAGGGAAACUGGAGCAGCCGGGAGCCGGGAGCGAAGGGGACCCUGGGCAAAGGGCCCAGGGCAAGGAGAGGCCCUCAGCCAAGAGGCCUUGCAGGCCAGACUGGGUGGGGGAUCAUAACCCUGACAGGAAGCAGCUGACGCUAGGAAGAAGGGUCCUUCUACCUAGAGCCUGAGGCCAACACCAGAGUUAGUGUCCAACCCUGGGCAUGCGUGCAGCACAGGCCGGGCCUGGGCAGGAGGCCUGGGACGUGGGAGGGACAGACUGUGAAGUGCCCUGGCAUUCCAGAGCGGGUUGUUUGGGGUUCCCCCGCACAGAGCGGGAUGUCAUGUUUUCCUUUCAUCUUGCCCACUUUUCUCUUUAUUUUUAUAUUACUUGCUGUUUAAUAAAUUGUAUUUGUUCUUAACUCUGUGCAAUGAUGAAGGAAGCAUCCAGAGUGGAGAGAACACCCCACAAUGGGGACAGCUGUCCUGAGUGAUCACAAGAUUGGGGGUCGAGCGCCUCAGGAGCCCUGGGCCCAGCCUUGGGGUUACGGGUCCAGAGUGGAAGCGGGCAGGGGUCCUGGAGGUUAUGCAGGCCUCUGGGCUGAGGAAUCAGGUCCACGUUUCACUAAAGAUCAGCCAGUCUUCCAGGGGACAGAGAAGGGAAAUGGCUGUGUUGGAACCAGCUCAGAUGCCGGUGACCUUCGAGGAGGUGGCUAUUUAUUUCACCC